rnacentral:rRNA from 1 species
CAACCUGGCGACGAGUGGCGAACGGGUGAGUAAUAUAUCGGAACGUGCCCAGUAGUGGGGGAUAGCCCGGCGAAAGCCGGAUUAAUACCGCAUACGACCUACGGGUGAAAGCGGGGGAUCGCAAGACCUCGCGCUAUUGGAGCGGCCGAUAUCAGAUUAGGUAGUUGGUGGGGUAAAAGCCUACCAAGCCAACGAUCUGUAGCUGGUCUGAGAGGACGACCAGCCACACUGGGACUGAGACACGGCCCAGACUCCUACGGGAGGCAGCAGUGGGGAAUUUUGGACAAUGGGCGCAAGCCUGAUCCAGCCAUGCCGCGUGCGGGAAGAAGGCCUUCGGGUUGUAAACCGCUUUUGUCAGGGAAGAAACGCUCUGGGCUAAUACCCUGGGGUAAUGACGGUACCUGAAGAAUAAGCACCGGCUAACUACGUGCCAGCAGCCGCGGUAAUACGUAUGGUGCAAGCGUUAAUCGGAAUUACUGGGCGUAAAGCGUGCGCCGGCGGUCUUGCAAGACAGAUGUGAAAUCCCCGGGCUCAACCCUGGGAAUCUGCAUUUGUGACUGCCAGGCUAGAGUACGGUAGAGGGGGAUGGAAUUCCCCCGUGUAGCAGUGAAAUGCCGUAGAUAUGCGGAG